ACAUCAACGAUAACAGCCCGCAGUGCUCACAGGUGAGUCCUCACAGUAUUGUCUUGGGAAGUGGAGGCAAGGAAGGUUGGGAGAAGGUCUCUAUUCUCCUGAAUAGAGACAAGUCCUCAUUGGUCAUUACUGUCCACCUUUCUUGGCAUCUUCUGAACAGACCUUAGACUGCUACCCAUAGGCAGGAACUAUUCUGGGCAUCUUCUUGCUCCCAGCCAUAUCAACACACAAACUCUUCAGGAACUAUGGUACAUGCCAUUCUCUUUACACAUCAUACAAAGGCCACAUCUUUGCAGCACACACCCAGAGGUAGCAGGCCCAUCUGUUGCCAAGCUGACAACCUAAGUUUCAUCCCAGGACACAAAAGGUGCAAGGAGAGGACUAACUCUUGAAAGUUGUCCUCUGACCCCUAUACAUAAUUGAUGGAGCACACAUGGACACGCACAUAUGCACACACAAAUAAAUGCAAUAAAAUAGCCAGAGAAUUUUCCCUCUAAAUGUAUUUUUAAAAACAAUAGCUGAUUUUUAACAUUUAGAAGAAUUUCCACUAUUCCAAAUUUUAUUUUAAAUAUAAACUGGUCAGAUGUGGUCUUACAUGCCUUUAAUCCCAGCACUCAGGAGGCAGAAGUGGGCAGAUUUCUGUGAGUUUGAGGCCAGCCUGGUUUACAGAGUGAGUUCCAGGACAUCCAAGGCACAGAGAGACUUUGCCUCAACAACAACAGCAAACAAACAAACAAAACAACAAAAUAAAACAAAACAACAAAAUAAAACAAAACAAAAAA
rnacentral:lncRNA from 1 species